rnacentral:rRNA from 1 species
GACGGAGGGGGCUAGCGUUGUUCGGAAUUACUGGGCGUAAAGGGCUCGUAGGCGGCCAACUAAGUCAGACGUGAAAUCCCUCGGCUUAACCGGGGAACUGCGUCUGAUACUGGAUGGCUUGAGUUCGGGAGAGGGAUGCGGAAUUCCAGGUGUAGCGGUGAAAUGCGUAGAUAUCUGGAGGAACACCGGUGGCGAAGGCGGCAUCCUGGACCGACACUGACACUGAGGAGCGAAAGCCAGGGGAGCAAACGGG